rnacentral:tRNA from 1 species
GGGCCCGUGGCUCAAUGGUAGAGUACCUCGCUGGCAGCGAGGGGGUUAGGGGUUCGACUCCCCUCGGGUCCA